AACUGGCCCCUUUUAUUUACCUGCCCUGUAAGCUUGUAUUACUCUCUUACUGGAUCUGGACGGUCGCCCGGGCUGCCCGGUCACUCCCCGCCGGGCAGCUGACGUCACCCUCCCUCUCUCAGUCGGUUUAUUCUUUCUGGGCCUUUGUCCCGUCGCUGUCAGCACUCAGCCCACUGCCCUUCUCCUUUCCUAUAAACCUUCUGCCUUCCCUCAUGACUUCUUCACUUCUUCUUCUUCUUCUUCUUCUUCUUCUUAAGCAUGGAAGGAAUAGAAAAGCUUUCAAGGGUGAGAGUUAGGCUUAAGUUUCUUCAAGUCAAUUUUCAAAUUAAGUUCAUGCAUAAUAUGAGCAUGAACAACUCCGACGCCGCCGUCUUCAACGCUUCAACUGGUGGGUUUUUUGCCGGAUUCCAGUUUGAUGCUAAAAGUCCCUCUUGUUCAUGAUGAUUGGGUUCUAUCCUACCUGAGCUUUUCCAUUACUAUCUUUUUUUUUUUUUUUUUUAUUUUCUUGACCUUGUAAGACCUUUUCUUGACCUUGUAAGACCCACGUCUCCAUUAGUCACAGACUCCAUAUCAGAAUAUUUUGAUUUAGAGUUUCAAAUUUGUUUUCCACGAUUCCGUCCAACUCAUCUCUCCUUCCUUGUCUAUCCCUCUUGAGCUGUUUGAAUAAAGCUAAAAAUAUAUAUCUUCUUUUAAAAUCACCCAAUUAUUGAUAAUUAGAAGCUUCUCAAAAUUUUUGAAAGUCAUGUAGACUUUGUUGCUGCCUAUCUCUAUUAGGGCAAUCAAUUUAGAUUGUUAUUAUUUGUGCAGAAAUAUGCUAGCUGCAUCAGUUUCGUUGUUUUAUAUGUUGUUGGCUGAGAGUAAGAGAAUAAAUGUUGUCUCAGAUCUUCUCGUGACUGCUGUUUCUUAUGUACAAACUUUUGUGUCCACUGUAUUAUUGGAUAUUUCCUUUCUUCAUCCUUAUCCUUGAGGACUUUUUGUAGUUCAUGAAAAGCUGAUUUCUCAACAGUGGGAAGAGUUUUUUUCCACACCCCAUAAAUGUCAAGAGAUGAAAAAGGAAGAGAGAGGGUGAGAGAAGAGAGAGUUUUUUUUUCUUACAAGACAAGUUGGAUAAUGUAAAAUGUAAUCCUGUUCAUGCAGUUAAAACUUGUUUGUGAUAUAAGGUAAUGAAUUGCCUUUUUAA